rnacentral:lncRNA from 13 species
AUGAUGGUGGAGGACGAGACAGGUCUCUCUGGCUUUUCUGGCUUUGCCCGCCCAGCUGCUCCCGUUCUAGGCUUUUCUGGCUUUGCCCACCCAGCUGCUCCAUGCCACGAGAAGGAAGAGCUGUCUGCUGCAUGCUGGAGGCUGGAGCCUGUGGCACCACGGCUCGCCUUGCUGCAGUGGGUGGCAGCGACAGAGACUGCAGAGUGCUGGAGAGAAGCCCGCCCGGCCUGGCGGAGAGAAGUCAGCAGAGGUGGCAGCGGUGGCCCUGGCUCGGCCCAGCCACAGGGAAGUCAGCGUAGACAGCGGCAGCGCAGUCAGAGUGAGUAUCUUUGGAGAAGCCGUGGUGGCUUCCAUGUGAUGGUGGAGGCCGAGACAGAUCUCUGUGGUAAGUGGCAGGGACUUGUACCUCACCGGGAAUCCUCCAGACCUCCCUGCUCCUUCUCUGCGGCUCCCUGCUUUGUCUGGGUUGGGUUAGGUUGGUGGCACUAUGGGGUGCAACACUGCCAGCGGCGAGGGGUGGAUUCGGGGUGCUGUCAGGUGUUACGUUGCCCCCAGUGGGGGGGGUGUGAAAUCCACGACAUCAUUGCCUGUGUCUGGGUGCUGGUUGGGGGCACUAUCCAUCGCUGCAUUGCCCACAUGGGGAGUGGGUUGGGGGCACUGUCUGGGGCUGCAGUACUGGUGGUGGAGGAUGGUUUAGGGGGUGCUACAUGCUGGUUGGGGGGAGCACCUGAGCAGAGCCUGGGUGGUCCCAGUGGUUCCUAUGGAGUGGGAAGCCCAGGCACCAUGGUGUCUCCAGUCUCUACUCCCUAGCCAGUUUGGGCCAAAAAGAGAUGCUGUGGCCUUUGGAGGGUGGGUGUGAGUGCCUUCACUGAAACUGGCUCAUGCCACCCAGUGGCCAGCAUGACAAGGUGGGGGGUCUAAUGCUACCAUUCUCUUGUGUCCCAUUCUAGGCUUUUCUGGCUUUGCCCACCCAGCUGCUCCAUGCCACGAGAAGGAAGAGCUGUCUGCUGCAUGCUGGAGGCUGGAGCCUGUGGCACCGCGGCUCGCCUCGCUGCAGUGGGUGGCAGUGACAGACUGCAGAGUGCCGGAGAG